CAGUAGCCGCGGGAAUACGUAGGGUGCGAGCGUUAAUCGGAAUUACUGGGCGUAAAGCGUGCGCAGGCGGUUGUGUAAGACAGGUGUGAAAUCCCCGGGCUUAACCUGGGAACUGCGCUUGUGACUGCACAGCUAGAGUAUGGCAGAGGGGGGUGGAAUUCCGCGUGUAGCAGUGAAAUGCGUAGAUAUGCGGAGGAACACCGAUGGCGAAGGCAAUCCCCUGGGCCUGCACUGACGCUCAUGCACGGAAGCGUGGGGAGCAAACAGGAUUAGAUACCCGUGAGUCCCUGUCUCUUAUACA
rnacentral:rRNA from 1 species